GAAGGAGGGCGCUAGCGUUGGUCGGAAUUACUGGGCGUAAAGGGCGCGUAGGCGGCCUGGUCAGUCGGGUGUGAAAGCCCGGGGCUCAACCCCGGAACGGCACCCGAGACGGCCAGGCUGGAGACCGGGAGAGGAGGGUGGAAUAGCCAGUGUAGAGGUGAAAUUCGUAGAUAUUGGCUGGGACACCGGUGGCGAAAGCGGCUCUCUGGCCCGGUUCUGACGCUGAGGCGCGAAAGCUUGGGGAGCAAACAGG
rnacentral:rRNA from 1 species